UCUCUGCCUAAAUUUCUUAUCACCUGUGUUGCUUUCCUAUGAGCUUCAACCCACCCCGGCUAGAGCAGGUCUCUGGCACAGGAGGUUCAAAAGUGUUGAGGAGUUCCAUGACCCUUAUCUGUACUGGGAGUCUAGGAGAUGAGGUUUAGAGCAUAACUUUUAAUUGCCUUGGUCUCAGAAUGUACCAGGACAGACCUCAGAUUUAGAAUGUCUUCCUGGCUGAUUGUUUCGGGAGUCUGCUAUUUUCUCAGUCUUUGCAGUGAAUUUUUCUAAGACAGAGAUUCUGUUUUCUACAU